rnacentral:rRNA from 1 species
GAUGAACGCUGGCGGCGUGCCUAAUACAUGCAAGUCGAGCGAACAGACGAGGAGCUUGCUCCUCUGACGUUAGCGGCGGACGGGUGAGUAACACGUGGAUAACCUACCUAUAAGACUGGGAUAACUUCGGGAAACCGGAGCUAAUACCGGAUAAUAUAUUGAACCGCAUGGUUCAAUAGUGAAAGACGGUUUUGCUGUCACUUAUAGAUGGAUCCGCGCCGCAUUAGCUGGUUGGUAAGGUAACGGCUUACCAAGGCAACGAUGCGUAGCCGACCUGAGAGGGUGAUCGGCCACACUGGAACUGAGACACGGUCCAGACUCCUACGGGAGGCAGCAGUAGGGAAUCUUCCGCAAAGGGCGAAAGCUUGACGGAGCAACGCCGCGUGAGUGAUGAAGGUCUUCGGAUCGUAAAACUCUGUUAUUAGGGAAGAACAAAUGUGUAAGUAACUAUGCACGUCUUGACGGUACCUAAUCAGAAAGCCACGGCUAACUACGUG